rnacentral:rRNA from 1 species
ACGCACGCUGGCGGCGUGCUUCACACAUGCCAGUCGAACGGAAAGGCCCUGCUUUUGUGGGGUGCUCGAGUGGCGAACGGGUGAGUAACACGUGAGUAACCUGCCCUUGACUUUGGGAUAACUUCAGGAAACUGGGGCUAAUACCGGAUAGGAGCUCCUGCUGCAUGGUGGGGGUUGGAAAGUUUCGGCGGUUGGGGAUGGACUCGCGGCUUAUCAGCUUGUUGGUGGGGUAGUGGCUUACCAAGGCUUUGACGGGUAGCCGGCCUGAGAGGGUGACCGGCCACAUGGGGACUGAGAUACGGCCCAGACUCCUACGGGAGGCAGCAGUGGGGAAUAUUGCACAAUGGGCGGAAGCCUGAUGCAGCAACGCCGCGUGCGGGAUGACGGCCUUCGGGUUGUAAACCGCUUUCGCCUGUGACGAAGCGUGAGUGACGGUAAUGGGUAAAGAAGCACCGGCUAACUACGUG